CUACGGGUUGCAGCAGUAAGGAAUAUUGCGCAAUGGAGGCAACUCUGACGCAGCCAUGCCGCGUGCAGGAAGAAGGCCUUAUGGGUCGUAAACUGCUUUUAUUUAGGAAUAAACCCCCGAACGUGUUCGGGGCUGAAGGUACUAAACGAAUAAGCACCGGCUAACUCCGUGCCAGCAGCCGCGGUAAUACGGAGGGUGCAAGCGUUAUCCGGAUUUAUUGGGUUUAAAGGGUGCGCAGGCGGGCUAUUAAGUCAGUGGUGAAAUCCCGGGGCUCAACUCCGGAACUGCCAUUGAUACUGAUAGUCUUGAGUUUGGUUGAAGUGGGCGGAAUGUAGCAUGUAGCGGUGAAAUGCAUAGAUAUGCUACAGAACACCAAUCGCGAAGGCAGCUCACUAAGCCAAAACUGGCGCUCAUGCACGAAAGCGUGGGGAUCAAACAGGAUUAGAUACCCGGGUAGUC
rnacentral:rRNA from 1 species